rnacentral:lncRNA from 1 species
AAAGCUUGUGUCACUGAAGGGGAUCAUAGAGGUUUGCCUCCGUGUAUCUGUCUCCUAGGGAGUAAUAGGCUGGAGAGGGGAAGACUGUCAAGCUGAAGACUAUCAAAUGGAUGGCACUCUGCUGUCCUGAGUCAACUUCCAUGAAACAAGUAUUCGGGACCUGUUCUCCCUUCCAGCUGGUAGACAGGGUGCACACAAGCUCAGCAUACAUGCCCUCAGACUGCUAGGGGUCAGAAUGAGUAUGUUGGUACCAGCCCAUGACUUUGUAAAGCUUCAACAUUCUCACCUUUCAUUGUUUUGUUUUUAGAUUUAUUUAUUGUGUAUACAGUGGCCUGCCUGUAUGUAUGCCUGCAGGCCCGAAGAGGGCACCAGAUCUCAUUUCAGAUGGUUGUGAGCCACCAUGUGGACCUGGGAAUUGAUCUUAGGACCUCUGGAAAAGCAGCCAGUGCAGUGCUCUUAACCUCUGAGCCAUCUCCCCAGCCCCAUUCUCAUCUUUUAAAAACCACCACUAGCCGGGCAUGGUGGCGCACGCCUUUAAUCCCAGCACUCGGGAGGCAGAGGCAGGCAGAUUUCUGAGUUCGAGGCCAGCCUGGUCUACAAAGUGAGUUCCAGGACAGCCAGGGCUAUACAGAGAAACCCUGUCUCAAAAAAAAAAAAAACAAACCAACCCAAAACAAAACAAAAACAACAACAACAAAAACCCACCACUAGUACUCUAACUUCCCAAAUGCAGCAGCAUUGGGACUGAGCCUGCUUCCCAGCCAUCCAUGGCCUCCCUGUUUGUAAUUCUGUGCAAAUCCAACUCUUGCUAUCAUUGUUUGGUUUUCAUGGAAGGAAUUCCCAUCUACAUGCAUAAAGACACUCAUCAGAAUGAGCAGAAGAAAUAGAGGACUAGGUAUAGGAAUCAGUGGUCAGGGCAAUACAUGGUCCAGGACCCAGGGUGAAGCAGCCCAGGUGGGAGGCAACUGAAAAAAAGAGGAGUACAGCAGACAAGAAUUGCAGCUUUCUAAAGAAAUGCAUGCUUCCAUUUCCAGCACUUGGGAAGCAUGCAGAUCUCUGUGAAUUUGAAGCCACCCUGAUCUGCUUAGUGAGUUCUAGACCUAUCAGGGCUACAUAGUAAGAUAUUGUCUCAAAGAAGAAGAGAAGGAGCAAGAGGAAAAGGAGGAGGAGGAAGAAGAGGAAAGGGGAAAAAGAAGAAGCAGCUUAAUAGCGCAAUGUUUGCAGAGAAGAGGAUCUGUUCAUACUAGUAAUGAACAAACGUUCUUUACUGCCUUCUUACUGAGUGAAGCUUGGCUAUAGAAAACAGUGGGGAAGGUGUUCUUUUCUGAGCCACACACAGCCUCAUCCAUCAGGCUCUCUCAUGAUCCCAUGGAGAAGCCUGAAUGGAAGGCAGGGGUGGGUAACUCACCAUGUCCUCUGCAAGGAUGGUUCCUGCCAUUGUUUCCCUUUAGUGGAUACUGAGAAGCUGGAUACGCAGAACACUUUGUUCACUAAUCCAGACUAUCCCCCACUUUGCAGUCUGGUAAAGAGACUCCUACUAUGAAGCAAAAUUCCUGCUCAAAACCUGUUUUGCCUUUACCCUGAGAUUCUUCAAGGCAAUCCACAUUGGAUCGCAUGCAUGCCGGGCCAGGGGUCCAGCUUAUCAGAUGCUGUCCCAGCAGGAAGGAGCUUUGGUUUGUUCUGAGACUGUAAAGACAUGGUUUCCAUUAAUUGUGCCCAGGAAACCGAAUGCUUCCCUUAGUCAUACUUGCCAUCCGUCUGGAGAAAGCAGGGGGGAGGCAGUAAUGCUUUUUUAUAAAAAAAAAACUGAGUGUGGAAACAUUUGUGGCAAAUUAAAAGAAUUUUCUUUAUAGAUUUAUGAUGGUUAAUAUUGACUGUGAACUUUUCUCUAGGGGUGUAGAAGCACCUAGAGAAAACCCUCUGGAUGAAUCUGUCAGAGUUUCCAGAUUGGAAGACCCACCCUAAAUGGAUGGUGCUAUUUCAGGGGCUGUCCUUCCUCAACUGAAUAAAAAAGAGACAGCAAGCUGAAUGAGUGUCAGCAUCCAUCCUCUCUCUUCCCAACUGGAGAGAAAGUGUGACCAACUGCCUCCGGCUCCUGACGCCAGGAUUUCCCCACCAUAAUGGACUGUACCCUCAAACUGUGAGCCAGAGUAAACCAUCACUUCCUUAAGUUGCUUCUGUGAAAAAGCCAUGAGAAAAAUAACUAAAUUGCAUACCCACAAAUGCAACCACUCUGGCCUGGCCUGACCUGACCUGAAGUCGCUAUGAAUCGAGAGAGAAACUCUCUCCUGGUCUUAUAGGUGCACCACCUCCAAACUUCCUCUCCAGAAAUGGGAACAAGCUUCCAAAUUUGCAAACUGUGCCUGCAGUGCCUUCCCUGCCCCACACACCACCCAGAUCUUUAGUGGAAUGUUUAAACAAGCACUGAUAACAGGUUCCCCAACAGCCCAAAUAAAGUUUUACAAGGGGAAC